AACGAACGCUGGCGGCAGGCCUAACACAUGCAAGUCGAACGCCGUAGCAAUACGGAGUGGCAGACGGGUGAGUAACGCGUGGGAACAUACCCCUCGGUUCGGAAUAACUCAGGGAAACUUGAGCUAAUACCGGAUACGUCCAAGGUUUUAAUCGACCUUGGAGAAAGAUUUAUCGCCGGGGGAUUGGCCCGCGUCUGAUUAGCUUGUUGGUGAGGUAAUGGCUCACCAAGGCGACGAUCAGUAGCUGGUCUGAGAGGAUGAUCAGCCACAUUGGGACUGAGACACGGCCCAAACUCCUACGGGAGGCAGCAGUGGGGAAUAUUGGACAAUGGGCGAAAGCCUGAUCCAGCCAUGCCGCGUGAGUGAUGAAGGCCUUAGGGUUGUAAAGCUCUUUUACCCGGGAAGAUAAUGACGGUACCGGGAGAAUAAGCCCCGGCUAACUUCGUGCCAGCAGCCGCGGUAAUACGAAGGGGGCUAGCGUUGUUCGGAAUUACUGGGCGUAAAGCGCACGUAGGCGGAUCCUUAAGUCAGGGGUGAAAUCCCGAGGCUCAACCUCGGAACUGCCUUUGAUACUGGGGAUAUCGAGUCCGGGAGAGGUGAGUGGAACUGCGAGUGUAGAGGUGAAAUUCGUAGAUAUUCGCAAGAACACCAGUGGCGAAGGCGGCUCACUGGCCCAGUACUGACGCUGAGGUGCGAAAGCGUGGGGA
rnacentral:rRNA from 1 species